GCAACUUUAGCUCAGUUGGGAGAGCGUCAGACUGAAGUGUACUUCUGUCGAGCAUGGCCUGUCUGUCUUUGGGCGGAUGGGAGUGUGAUCUGAAGGUCACCCGUUCGAUCCGGGUAAGUUGCA